rnacentral:rRNA from 1 species
UACGAAGGGGGCUAGCGUUGCUCGGAAUCACUGGGCGUAAAGGGUGCGUAGGCGGGUUUUUAAGUCAGGGGUGAAAUCCUGGAGCUCAACUCCAGCACUGCCUUUGAUACUGAAGAUCUUGAGUCCGGGAGAGGUGAGUGGAACUGCGAGUGUAGAGGUGAAAUUCGUAGAUAUUCGCAAGAACACCAGUGGCGAAGGCGGCUCACUGGCCCGGUACUGACGCUGAGGCACGAAAGCGUGGGGAGCAAACAGG